UGCUGCAGAGGGCACCAAACUUGCAAGAAAGAGCAGAGUUAUGCAGUCCUGCAUGGAACUUGAAAUUAAAUGGGUCAAGGAGAUUUAGAUCUAGGCCAUUAUUGUCAAAGAGAACAAUGGGCAUGGACGUAGGAGUAAUUGGUAGAAAAGGGUCAGAAAACAAAGAAAGCAGCUUAAGAACAGACCAUGAAAUGCCUCGAUGGAAGGAAUCAUGAGAGGUCAUCAUCGGGUAGGUCCCUUUAGUGGAGGAAUAAACCCCUGUGACUUGCACACAGCCCAGCAUGGUCACCACCCUGCACUCUACCUCUCUCUCCUUCAUGCUGACAAGUGGGAUCCAUUCUUCUGUGUCUGGGUUGAAGCACUCAGUGAGGGUGGUCUGGCCCCCUACCAUGCGCAACCUGCUGUUCAA